UUGAACGCUGGCGGCAGGCCUAACACAUGCAAGUCGAACGGUAACAGGAAGAAGCUUGCUUCUUUGCUGACGCGUGGCGGACGGGUGAGUAAUGUCUGGGAAACUGCCUGAUGGAGGGGGAUAACUACUGGAAACGGUAGCUAAUACCGCAUAACGUCGCAAGACCAAAGAGGGGGACCUUCGGGCCUCUUGCCAUCGGAUGUGCCCAGAUGGGAUUAGCUAGUAGGUGGGGUAACGGCUCACCUAGGCGACGAUCCCUAGCUGGUCUGAGAGGAUGACCAGCCACACUGGAACUGAGACACGGUCCAGACUCCUACGGGAGGCAGCAGUGGGGAAUAUUGCACAAUGGGCGCAAGCCUGAUGCAGCCAUGCCGCGUGUAUGAAGAAGGCCUUCGGGUUGUAAAGUACUUUAAGCGGGGAGGAAGGGAGUAAAGUUAAUACCUUUGCUCAUUGACGUUACCCGCAGAAGAAGCACCGGCUAACUCCGU
rnacentral:rRNA from 1 species